rnacentral:rRNA from 1 species
UAACGAAUCUUCCACAAUGCACGAAAGUGUGAUGGAGCGACGCCGCGUGUGGGAUGAAGUCCUUCGGGAUGUAAACCACUGUCAGGGGUUAGAAAGUUCUGAUCAACCCCAGAGGAAGAGGCGGCUAACUCUGUGCCAGCAGCCGCGGUAAUACAGAGGCCUCGAGCGUUAGGCGGAAUCACUGGGCUUAAAGCGUGUGUAGGCGGCUCGUUAAGUACCUUGUGAAAUCCCACGGCUUAACCGUGGAACUGCUUGGUAUACUGGCGGGCUUGAGCCAUCUAGGGGCUACCGGAACAAAUGGUGGAGCGGUGAAAUGCGUAGAUAUCAUUUGGAACACCAAAGGUGAAAACAGGUAGCUGGGGAUGUGCUGACGCUGAGACACGAAAGCCAGGGGAGCAAACGGGAUUAGAUACCCCUGUAGUCC